GAAACUCGCCUACAUGAAGCUGGAGUUACUAGUAAUCGCAGAUCAGAAUGCUGCGGUGAAUGCGUUCCCGGGUCUUGUACACACCGCCCGUCACACCACGGAAGUUGGGGGCGCCCGAAGCCACUUAGCUAACCCUUUUGGGAAGCGAGUGUCGAAGGUGAAAUCAAUAACUGGGGUGAAGUCGUAACAAGGUACC
rnacentral:rRNA from 1 species